rnacentral:rRNA from 1 species
GAUGAACGCUGGCGGCGUGCCUAAUACAUGCAAGUCGAGCGAACAGACGAUGAGCUUGCUCCUCUGACGUUAGCGGCGGACGGGUGAGUAACACGUGGAUAACCUACCUAUAAUACUGGGGUAACUUCGGGAAACCGGAGCUAAUACCGGAUAAUAUCUUUAACCGCAUGGUUCAAUAGUGAAAGACGGUUUUGCUGUCACUUAUAGAUGGAUCCGCGCCGCAUUAGCUAGUUGUUAAGGUAACGGCUUACCAAGGCGACGAUGCGUAGCCGACCUGAGAGGGUGAUAGGCCACACUGGAACUGAGACACGGUCCAGACUCCUACGGGAGGCAGCAGUAGGGAAUCUUCCGCAAUGGGCGAAAGCUUGACGGAGCAACGCCGCGUGAGUGAUGAAGGUCUUCGGAUCGUAAAACUCUGUUAUUAGGGAAGAACAAAUGUGUAAGUAACUAUGCACGUCUUGACGGUACCUAAUCAGAAAGCCACGGCUAACUACGUG